rnacentral:rRNA from 1 species
AUUGAACGCUGGCGGCAGGCCUAACACAUGCAAGUCGAACGAGUGGCGGACGGGUGAGUAAUUUCUGGGAAACUGCCCGAUGGAGGGGGAUAACUACUGGAAACGGUAGCUAAUACCGCAUACCAUCGGAUGUGCCCAGAUGGGAUUAGCUAGUAGGUGGGGGAAUGGCUCACCAAGGCGACGAUGCCUAGCUGGUCUGAGAGGAUGACCGGCCACACUGGGACUGAGACACGGUCCAGACUCCUACGGGAGGCAGCAGUGGGGAAUAUUCGGCAAUGGGCGAAAGCCUGAUCGAGCCAUGCCGCGUGUGUGAAGAAGGCCUUCGGGUUGUAAAGUACUUUCAGCGGGGAGGCGUUACUCACAGAAGAAGCACCGGCUAACUCCGUGCCAGCAGCCGCGGUAAUAC